UACCUUGGAUCAUUCCUGGACAGUCAGCUCAGUUUUGCUGAAAACACUGACUACAUUUUUAAGAAACGUCACUCUGUCUUUUAAGAAGACCAGUGAUCUUGGGGUUACCUAACAAGUGCAACUCGUGCAAAACCUCUAGUUAGUUAGAGGUAACAUUAGCUAACAUUACCUCUAGUUAAGUAAUGUUAACAUUUUAACAAUAAGUUAAAAUGUUAAAACUUAAAAAUUUAACUUAAGUUUUAAGUCAUCUCAAGUUUUAACUGUCGAGUGCUUUAGCUUUUCAUCUCGGUUGGUUUGGUCACAUGAGCUGCAGACUAACAGACAAUCUUUUAAGAAUAUUUGGAACGGCAGGAAAAAAAGUAGGUAAACAGUGGUGAAACCAAAAACAACUCUUGUCUCAACUGUUUGCUGAAAGAACAUGGAAGACGGCAAAAAAUAUUUUAGCAGAGAGCAUCCAUCCUCUUUUUUUCGUCAGUUUGAGCUCAUGAAGGCGUUACUGUGUUCCUCUGGUAACAUCUAUUAGAAGCCAUUCAUUGACAGUGCAAUAAUUAUUCUUAGCCAAAUUAAAUAAUAACAUUUACCUGUAGCAUACUAAGUGUUUACUUGAUGCACAAAUUGUUGAUAUUGUGAUUCUAUUAAUGAGUUUUAUUUUAUUGUUUUAGAGUCAAAGAAAAAAUUUCCACCAUGGAAGACUAAAUAGUUUAAUCAUAUUUUUUCCUAUAGGACUCUACCAACAAAACAAAAAUGUGGGUUAUUGCUUGUUUAACAACCCUGGUUAUUCAUCUGUGAACCUAAUUAGUUUGUUCGUUAUUUACUUUUGCUCAAUUCAAUUUCUUGUGUAUACUGUUAGGUUCUGGGUGGAGGUCAGGUUUGUUUUUCUCCUCUAGAUGGAGUCCUGGAGAUGGCUGCAUGGGGGACAGAUCUUUUACAUCAACGACACACCGGUCGGCAAUUACACCCUUACCGGCAGCUUAAGAGAGGCGGUUACCAACACUUCGACGCCAAAAGUCCCAGAGCGUCCGGUUCGCCAAGCCCUGGCCGACUUGUCCGUUCCCCGAAGAAUUAACGAACUGGACCCCAGAAUCUCUGUCUCCCUCCCAGGCGUCACUAGACCACUACCACCUGUGCUGUUGCUGCCGCUGCCCGCCGCUCGAACCAGUCCUUUUUUUCCACCUCACAAUAAACCUGUUAAACUUU